rnacentral:rRNA from 1 species
AGAGUUUGAUCCUGGCUCAGGACGAACGCUGGCGGCGCGCCUAACACAUGCAAGUCGAACGGAGCUUAGAGAGCUUGCUUUUUAAGCUUAGUGGCGAACGGGUGAGUAACGCGUGAGUAACCUGCCCUAGAGUGGGGGACAACAGUUGGAAACGACUGCUAAUACCGCAUAAGCCCACGGUAUCGCAUGAUACUGAGGGAAAAGGAUUUAUUCGCUUUAGGAUGGACUCGCGUCCAAUUAGCUAGUUGGUGAGGUAACGGCCCACCAAGGCGACGAUUGGUAGCCGGACUGAGAGGUUGAACGGCCACAUUGGGACUGAGACACGGCCCAGACUCCUACGGGAGGCAGCAGUGGGGGAUAUUGCACAAUGGGGGAAACCCUGAUGCAGCGACGCCGCGUGGAGGAAGAAGGUCUUCGGAUUGUAAACUCCUGUUGUUGAGGAAGAUAAUGACGGUACUCAACAAGGAAGUGACGGCUAACUACGUGCCAGCAGCCGCGGUAAAACGUAGGUCACAAGCGUUGUCCGGAAUUACUGGGUGUAAAGGGAGCGCAGGCGGGAAGACAAGUUGGAAGUGAAAUCCAUGGGCUCAACCCAUGAACUGCUUUCAAAACUGUUUUUCUUGAGUAGUGCAGAGGUAGGCGGAAUUCCCGGUGUAGCGGUGGAAUGCGUAGAUAUCGGGAGGAACACCAGUGGCGAAGGCGGUCUACUGGGCACCAACUGACGCUGAGGCUCGAAAGCAUGGGUAGCAAACAGGAUUAGAUACCCUGGUAGUCCAUGCCGUAAACGAUGAUUACUAGGUGUUGGAGGAUUGACCCCUUCAGUGCCGCAGUUAACACAAUAAGUAAUCCACCUGGGGAGUACGACCGCAAGGUUGAAACUCAAAGGAAUUGACGGGGGCCCGCAC